GCAUAAUGAUUCCGCAUGGUUUCAUUAUUAAAGGAUUCCGGUAAAGGAUGGGGAUGCGUUCCAUUAGGUUGUUGGUGAGGUAACGGCUCACCAAGCCUUCGAUGGAUAGGGGUUCUGAGAGGAAGGUCCCCCACAUUGGAACUGAGACACGGUCCAAACUCCUACGGGAGGCAGCAGUGAGGAAUAUUGGUCAAUGGGCGCUAGCCUGAACCAGCCAAGUAGCGUGAAGGAUGAAGGCUCUAUGGGUCGUAAACUUCUUUUAUAUAAGAAUAAAGUGCAGUAUGUAUACUGUUUUGUAUGUAUUAUAUGAAUAAGGAUCGGCUAACUCCGUGCCAGCAGCCGCGGUAAUACGGAGGAUCCGAGCGUUAUCCGGAUUUAUUGGGUUUAAAGGGAGCGUAGGUGGACUGGUAAGUCAGUUGUGAAAGUUUGCGGCUCAACCGUAAAAUUGCAGUUGAUACUGUCAGUCUUGAGUACAGUAGAGGUGGGCGGAAUUCGUGGUGUAGCGGUGAAAUGCUUAGAUAUCACGAAGAACUCCGAUUGCGAAGGCAGCUCACUGGACUGCAACUGACACUGAUGCUCGAAAGUGUGGGUAUCAAACAGGAUUAGAUACCCUGGUAGUCCACACAGUAAACGAUGAAUACUCGCUGUUUGCGAUAUACAGUAAGCGGCCAAGCGAAAGCAUUAAGUAUUCCACCUGGGGAGUACGCCGGCAACGGUGAAACUCAAAGGAAUUGACGGGGGCCCGCACAAGCGGAGGAACAUGUGGUUUAAUUCGAUGAUACGCGAGGAACCUUACCCGGGCUUAAAUUGCAGUGGAAUGAUGUGGAAACAUGUCAGUGAGCAAUCACCGCUGUGAAGGUGCUGCAUGGUUGUCGUCAGCUCGUGCCGUGAGGUGUCGGCUUAAGUGCCAUAACGAGCGCAACCCUUAUCUUCAGUUACUAACAGGUCAUGCUGAGGACUCUGGAGAGACUGCCGUCGUAAGAUGUGAGGAAGGUGGGGAUGACGUCAAAUCAGCACGGCCCUUACGUCCGGGGCUACACACGUGUUACAAUGGGGGGUACAGAAGGCAGCUAGCGGGUGACCGUAUGCUAAUCCCAAAAGCCUCUCUCAGUUCGGAUCGAAGUCUGCAACCCGACUUCGUGAAGCUGGAUUCGCUAGUAAUCGCGCAUCAGCCACGGCGCGGUGAAUACGUUCCCGGGCCUUGUACACACCGCCCGUCAAGCCAUGGGAGCCGGGGGUACCUGAAGUACGUAACCGCAAGGAUCGUCCUAGGGUAAAACUGGUGACUGGGGCUAAGUCGUAACAAGGUAGCCGUACCGGAAGGUGCGGCUGGAACACCUCCUUUCU
rnacentral:rRNA from 1 species